CAACGGAAGGCCAGGUGAAUGGAGCUGGUGUGUGGAUCCAUGGACUGCGUUAAAGGCCCUGCUGGGACACGGGAUGUGUCACACUCUAGGUUGUAGGGGAAUCAGUGGCUGGUGUGGGUGAAAGCUGCUCCUGGAGAGAUGAUUUGGGGGUUAGAGUAGAGAGCGGUUAGAGGGAAGGAGACUGGAGACUGGGUGUAGCUAGGACCCACUGUGGAGAUUGGCUGGAGGCCGAUUCCAGAACAAGGGGCGAAUGAGGAGAGGGCAAUCCCAUUCCUGCUCUUCCCAAGUCUAGAACUUCCUGACCAAGUAAUUGCUUUCUUCUAGAAAAUAGUUUGUACCCAGAGCUAGUGUCUCUGCAGCAUCGCCCUGAGGGGUCGUCAGAGAAAACCAAGCGAGUGUACUGUGGUUGGUAAUGAUGCUCCGUUUUCAGAGCCCCAAGCCCUGGGUCCCCGCCCGGCCUCAGAAUUUUACUCUUACAUUGUUGGUUUGCUUCUGUUUCAGCUACACCCUGACCUUUGCUCUUGGAUUGCUUCUCCCUGCAUCUCAGACCUUGGGCAUAACUUGGUUUAGCCCAGCGGUUCUCAAAGACACCCUCCACUCUGAGUCAUCGGUGGACUUGCCUCUUACAGCUCCUCAUUAGUCUGGAAUUGCAUCUACAUGGAAAACUUUAGGAAAACAGGCUAGAAAGGCAGGUUCUGGAGACCAUCCCCAUCCUGCUGAACUACAGCAGCACCCUUCCAGGAGUGUCUGUCUUGCCUUGGCCUAGGACGGAUGGGAGUCCCUUACUCUGGGUGCACAUUCUAAGUUUGAAGACAUUGUGACACUCCCAUGGAAACUGGCCCAGACAGUCCUCAUAUCAGUGGGAAAGGAUGCUUGAGAGGAGACAAGUGGGCAGCCGGGUAAUGAGGAAGCCAAGCCGGGCCCUGGUGGUGUGUGCCUUUAAGAGGAGCCUGUGGUACAGUGUCCGCAUUCCCCAAAGAGACCAGCCACUUCACCACUGCUGCUUUGACAGACAGCUCCUGCUUCCUUCCGCAGGCCAUUGUCGCAGUAGAUGGCAUAGAUCUCAGAGGUCUUGAAUUUUGAUCCCUGGCAUGGAUGGGGUUUCAUGUCCCUUCUUAGGGGUGCUACAGUUGAAAUUCAGCCUCUCGUCCCCGCCGUGCUCAGGACAGCACGAAGGCUCCAAAGGAAGCCUCCUCACUGACUUGCAAGCAUCCCAUUGCUGGUGUACGUUUUCUCUGGUGGGCCUCAGCUGGCCUGGGUCCUUUUACGUUUUGCAAAGGGCAUUGAAUUUCACAGCAGGAAAAUGAGGUGUGCACGCCAGUGUGUUCAUGUGUGUGUGUGUGUGUGUGUGUGUGCGCGCGUGUGCACAGAGGUGUGUACAGGUGCACAUAGAUGUGUGUGCACAUACAUGCAGAGGUCAAAGGUUGCUGUUGGGAGACCUCAGUAACCCUCUACCUGUUUAUUUUGUUUUCUUCAUUAUCUUGUGUAUGGGUGUGCGCAUGUGCCGUGCGUGGAGGUCAGAGGACAUCUGUGUGGCAUCAGUUUUCUCUCUCUUUCCUUAUGUUGGCUCUGGGAUGGAAUUCAGGUUGCAGGAGUUGGUGAGCAAGCGCUUUACCCACUGAGCUGUCUCACUGGACUCACCUACCUUGUUUUUUGCGAAGGGUCUCUCACUGAACCUGGCACUUACCAAUUAGGGUAGGCUGACAGGCCAGCAAGCCCCAGGGUCUUCUGUCCCAGCCCCAGAACUGGGAUCAUAGGCCUGUGCCACCACACUGGGCCUGGGGAGCCAGCUCAAGUUCUCAUGAUUGACAGUAAGUACUCUGGGAGGAGUCAUUUCUGUAGCCCCAAGACUGUGUAUUUAAGUGGAAUAUAGGGGAUCCACUUAAAAGUUUUUUACCAUGAGGAUAUUUUAUAAGGUACUAAAAAUAUAUUAACUGAGAUUACUUAUCAGAUAUAUAUAUACACAUUUGACUUUUUGAUAAACACCUGUAAGAUGUUCAGAUAAUUUUGUUCGCAAUAGGAGGGAUUUGGGGGAGCUGCGAAGGGAGGGUCAGGAGUUCCGGGCCAGACUCUAUUACAUGAGACCCUGCCUUAUAAAAAGAAAACUACACUAACAGAGGCCAUGAGCGCUGCCCGCGUUAGCAGUUACUUCGUAUGUCUGUGUUGUGCUGACUCAGCUGUGAUAUAGUCCCUCUGGACUUUGUAAACGGCAUUGUUGCCUAAGACACCACAGCAAGGAGGUGUUUCGCAGUUUUACCAGUGAUGGCCAGAGGUCCCCGAAGUGCCCCAUACCUGAUGACCAGAGGACCUUCAGGUAGGUCUGGGUGGAGGCUGUGGUGCCCAGCCCCAGAGAGAUGCUCCUGGGACAAUGUUUAGAUCUGCAGCUAAGGGCAGGACUUUCCUGAGCACAGAAUGGCUCCGAGGGCUCAGUCAUGGAAAGGGAGUGAGGGAUGCUGGCUACAAGUUGCUAUUUCGGGGGAAAAAUGCAGCUUGCUUUUUAUUUUCUUGUUUUACUCCCCACCCUGCACUGAGCCCAGCCUCCAUCUAUGUGACCACCCAGGAUGGGGCCUUCGUGGAACCAGGAGCCACCCCGAGAUUGGAGCCAUGUCCCACAGCUUAGCCCCACGGCGGGCUAUCACGGCUGAGGGAGAGAGGACUGCCUGCUGCAGCUGUCUCCUGCAGAACCAACCACCCCCACCUCCCAGGUGCCAGAGCCCUUCCUGCUGCUCCUGCUGCAGGUUUCCAAGGAGUCUUUUGUCAGGGCCCAGAUGCCAAUGUGUGGCAGCAUCUGGCUUGUUGGCAAGCAUCGCCGGCAGUUGUGCUGGCUGCUGGGCCUGUCAUGUGGCCGAGCCUGCGGAUGGGGGCCUCGUGACAAAACAGAGUUUCUUUGAGAAUAUGGUUUCAACCGCAGUGCUCACCAGAAAACAAUGCUCUGCAAGGAGGGGACCUGGAUCACCGGGCAGGGCACUGCAGGCUCCGGCUUUGAUGGUGCUCCUGGCCUGUCCAGCAGAGGCCCCCGCCUCCACCUUCAAUGCUUCAGGGCUGGCAUCUCCUGCACACUUACCUUCUUGUACCAUGAGUGUCGCAGGUGCCUUAAGGCAUGGAGCUCCUUGAAAGAGAAACACAAAUCACUAGAAAUGCUGAGAUCAAAUCCUGCUCCUCAGAGGCGCCCGUUUGGCACGGGGAGCUCACGGUAACAGCUUGCCUUAGAAAGGUGACAUUUCUGCUGAAGGCUGAAUAAUA